UAUAAUUUUUUCCCAAUAUCUAGAAAAUAAGACUAUUAUGAGAUACAAUAUAAUUUCUGCCUAAAAUUAUAAGAUUCUUCGUUAAAAUAUACUUCCCUCAACAUGUAGAAACAAAGACCUAGAAGUUUGAGAGACGGCUGAAAAUACAAUCUCGCCGGUGCAGUCAACGGCCUUCAAAACCGGAUGUCAUUGCGUUAAGAAAUUCUUUCAUACUUCCAAAUGAGGACGUCGCAAAUAAUUUUUUGUUGAACAUCGAGGUUGUGAAAGUGGUAGAGAAGGAGAAUGAUUUUAAUAUCGAUUUUAACAAGAACUUGUUCCUUAAGGUUGAAUAGAAAGCUCUGGCGGAACCCUCUACAACCAUGGGUUACGCCGAACUGUCUGAAAAUAUUUAUGGAAAUGGAAAGAAAACUAGGUUUCUUAUUGGCAUAUAAAGAAGACGUAGUGUGCGGGUUAUCGUUGGAAGGUCUUGAAUGUAGAGUCCGUUAAGAAGUAAGUCAUCCAUUACUUAUUUGCUUUGGAGGAAGAAGAUCUAGCUCAUAAAUUUUGUUUCAGCUAUUAGGGUUGCAUGUAAAUUAUAUAAGGAUCAUCUUGGCAGUACUGUAAGUGUCUUGCUGAUUACCAAUAAAAGAGUGAACCAGAAAGCAAAUGAAGAGGGAAUUUUCGCAGAGACAGAUUUUUGGAUUGGACGCCUUCAGUGUACUAUGGUGCAAGAUUAUCUGUCAAAGGAUAUUAAAAUCGUGGACAGAAGUAAAUU